rnacentral:piRNA from 1 species
UAGCAGAUUCCUUCAUAUUCUCUC